UAGUGGGGACAGCCCCAGGGGCUCCCCAUCUAGAGAAGCGAUGGAGACAAACUGGCAUCUAUAACAUGCAGCUCCAUGGAUACUUUGCUACACGGCAGACGGGGGUUGCAGGAGCCUUGAAGAUGUGACUCUACCCCGCAUGCAUGGGAGCCGGUGCAGGGGAAAGUUCCUGGAGAAGUUGUGUCCAAGUUGAGACCUAAAGGAUGAGGAGAGCCCUGAGUCACCAUGAAAGAUUUCUGGCCACCCUGCUGAAGAGGCCACAUGGGGAGGCCACAUGGAGAGGAGGAGAGGUCCACUGAUCCAGCAUUUUAGUUGAGCUUCCAGCUGACUCCAGCCUCAAGCUUUAUCUGAAUGCACCUGCAUGAGAGACUUCUAAGCAAGACCAGCAGAAGAUCCACCCGCUGAUCCCAGACAACCCAUGGAACCAUGAGAGAGCCAAU
rnacentral:lncRNA from 1 species